AUUGAACGCUGGCGGCAGGCUUAACACAUGCAAGUCGAGCGGAGUGAUGGUGCUUGCACUAUCACUUAGCGGCGGACGGGUGAGUAAUGCCUAGGAAUCUGCCUAUUAGUGGGGGACAACAUCUCGAAAGGGAUGCUAAUACCGCAUACGUCCUACGGGAGAAAGCAGGGGAUCACUUGUGACCUUGCGCUAAUAGAUGAGCCUAAGUCGGAUUAGCUAGUUGGUGGGGUAAAGGCCUACCAAGGCGACGAUCUGUAGCGGGUCUGAGAGGAUGAUCCGCCACACUGGGACUGAGACACGGCCCAGACUCCUACGGGAGGCAGCAGUGGGGAAUAUUGGACAAUGGGGGGAACCCUGAUCCAGCCAUGCCGCGUGUGUGAAGAAGGCCUUAUGGUUGUAAAGCACUUUAAGCGAGGAGGAGGCUCUUUUGGUUAAUACCCAAGAUGAGUGGACGUUACUCGCAGAAUAAGCACCGGCUAACUCUGUGCCAGCAGCCGCGGUAA
rnacentral:rRNA from 1 species